UAAGUUUUGUCUUAUUUUUUCUGCUUAUUUUUAUUUGUGUUUAAUAGAAUUAUUUUUUUGUUAUUGUAUUUUUUUGAUUUAAUUUUAUUUAUUAUAGUUUACUUGUACUGUGAGGGUUUGUCUUUGUUAAUUUUUUAUAAGCUAUCUUUGUUUGUUGUACCUUGUGUAUCAGGGUUUACUGAAUUGUAUUAUUUAUUGUUUUGUUUCCCGAUUUUAAGAGGAGUUAAUAGUUUAUGUUAGUUGCUGUUUUAUAAGCAUGAUUAAUAUUCUGUUGGUAGUGAAAUGUUAUUCGUCUUUGUUGGUCUCUGGUUUUUCAAGAAAUGAAUUUAAUUCAUGCAUCUUAUUUAAAUUUAUUAUUUUUUUAUUAUAUUUUAAUUUGCUGCUAAGAUUAGGGGGGAUUAGCUCCCUUUUCAAGUUUAUUAUAAUUUUAUUGGGUUUAUGAUUUUUGUUGAUUUUAUAGUGAUUUUCUAUUUGAUUAUGUUAAAAUUUUAUUUUAUUUUUGUUAACUUUUUUUUUAUUUAAAUUUUUUAUUGAAAUAUUAUUCCUAAUUUUUUUGUUUUGUAUUUAUUGUUGAAUUAGUAAAUUUGUUUUUUAUUUUGUUGAUUGGAUUGUUGUUAAUUUCUUCUUAGGAAUUAGGCAAAUAUUUUUGUGUCCGCCUGUUUAACAAAAACAUCUUUUCUUGUUAGUUUUUGAAGUAUGGCCUGCCCGCUGAAUUUUUUGAAGGGCCGCGGUAUUUUGACCGUGCAAAGGUAGCAUAAUCAUUAGUUCUUUAAUUGUGAUCUGGAAUGAAUGGCUUGACGAGAUACAAGCUGUCUUAGAUUAUUUUGAAUUGUUUAUUUUGAAUUUGGUUUCUGAGUUAAAAUUCUCAGAUUUUUUUAUGGGACGAGAAGACCCUAUAGAGUUUAUACACAUUGUUUUAUUUAUUUUAUGUUUGUUGAUUUUUCUUUAAUGGAUUUAUGGUGUUUUGUUGGGGUGAUUGGAAGAAUUUGUUUAACUCUUCUUUUCUUUUUGUCAUUUAUUUAUGUUUUUUUGAUCCAUUUAUUUUGAUUGUAAGAUUAAAUUACCUUAGGGAUAACAGCGUUAUCCCCCUUGAGAGUUCUUAUUGGCAGGGGGGUUUGCGACCUCGAUGUUGGAUUAAGGUUUAUUUUUGGUGUAGGAGCUAAUAUAUUAGGUCUGUUCGACCUUUGAAAUCUUACAUGAUCUGAGUUCAGACCGGCGUGAGCCAGGUUGGUUUCUAUCUAUAAUAAGUUGGUAUAUCUUAGUACGAGAGGACCAGGUAUACGGAAUAAUUUUUUUACGAUGAAUUUUAUUAAUUU
rnacentral:rRNA from 1 species